rnacentral:rRNA from 1 species
AUUGAACGCUGGCGGCAGGCUUAACACAUGCAAGUCGAGCGGGGAAAGGUAGCUUGCUACCUGACCUAGCGGCGGACGGGUGAGUAAUGCUUAGGAAUCUGCCUAUUAGAGGGGGACAACAGCUGGAAACGGCUGCUAAGACCGCAUAGGCGCGGACGGGACAUCCCGUCCACGUUAAACGUCCUUUCGGGGACGGCUGAAGGAUGGGCCUGUGGCGCAUUAGCUUGUUGGCGGGGCAACGGCCCACCAAGGCGACGAUGCGUAGCCGGCCUGAGAGGGCGGACGGCCACACUGGGACUGAGACACGGCCCAG